UCAGCACCGAUAACGGCGUCAACUUCGAGAGUACGUUUCUCGCCGGCGCCGUUAGUUUUGGAAUCGUACGAUGUGUAGUGAAGAACGUAAGGUGCAUUCGCGGCUUUCGGCAUGUCCAUUUUGAGAAACAAGCCAUUGAGAACGGCAGCUCCGGCGUCGGCAGCACGGCCACGGAGGUAAGCAUCGAGUACUUCGCGGCGCACCAUACCGAUAUACUCGUGAGGCUUUAAUGUCUGUCCGAUAUCUACAGCAACGUUGGAUGGAGAAAUCAUCUUCAUCUUGGUAACUUUUCUGUCGAUGAUAUCAAGAGGAAGAUCGAAUUCCCCCACCAUACAAAGCGGAAUAGCACCACCGCAGGGUUUGCAGUUAUCC
rnacentral:lncRNA from 1 species